UUCAUAAUCCAUAACAACCGCUAAUCAAUCUAUUAGGUUUCGGAAACCUAAAUAUGCGACUAUAUAAACCUCUCUAGAGCAGCAGAGCUUCUUCUUCCACUCCUUCUCCUUCGCCCUCUUAAUCUUUUUGUUAAUUUAUUUUUAUUAAUUUUUUGGUUUCUGUUUGGAAUUUGGAUUAAUAAAAGUAUUGCAGAUGUGUGACUUUCUCAUCAUGAGUUUUGAUUUGUUUUGAUUUUUUAGAUAUCCUGGCUUGGGUAUUUUGCAUUUCUCAAUAACAACACCAGAAUCAUCAUCAAUUGAAAAUUCCUGGCUAGAAAACUCAUCCAAGGACCAAGAUUUUUGUUGGUUGAGGACAUAGCAUGAAAAAAAUUCAGCAUCCAUUUCAGGUAAAUCAUUUAAAUCAACACGGGAUAUCCAUCUCUAACUGACCUGUGAUUGUUGUACAGUGAUGAUAUUGUGUGACAGUUUGAUAAUGAUGCAUUACCUAAUAUCAAUGUAGAGUUAAGAAAUACUAUUGGCUAAUAUUUUGUUGCAUUGCCUUUCAACAAUUUUACACAGUUUUGCUAGCUUACCAAUUCGCCUUAAUUUUGGUUUGGAUCAAUUUUGUACACGAGCUCGAUCUAAUGGACUGUUUGCUGCCGACAUGAACAGGAAAUGAAGAGUGUAUGGUUUCCUAUAGUACUAAAAAUACCCAAGCCUAUAAUUUACUAAUCAAGCAGGAUUUUUUGAGGUUUCCUGUUUCAUUUCAUGAUAUUUUUAGUUCUGUAGGAAACCAUACACUCUUCGAUAUGAACUAUGAAGUGGUUGACACGUAACAUACAAAAUUUGUGAUUGAAGAGAAAGGAAAGGUCAGUGUAAUGUGCGUAUGUACCAUUUUUCUUUAUAUGGUGAUGUAUCUACCGUUAGUUUUUGAAUUAGUUGGCAUGUGUCCAUUGCUCCCAAAACAGUAAGACUCCCGAAACAAGGCAUUACGUAAUUAAAAGUUUCCAUGCAGGUCUAUAAACUAUUGCCAUCGAAUUUUGAUAUUUACUCUAUAGUUGUCUACUGUUAUAGUCUUAAUUCUUUGGUUUUGGUCAAAGAACAUAAACUUCCAAGUUUCAGGACAACAAAUGUCCACACUGAAUCACAUUACUGCCUAGGCUAAAUUAGAGAUGCCCUUUGACAUCUAUAGUGGAACAUUGUUGAUGAAACUUGAAUCUUAUGCUUUUACAUGUCGAUGUGGCACAGCACCAUGCGUUAUAUCUUCCUCAUGCAAGAGUAUGUUCGUCCGCAAGGGAAAGUAUGUUCAUGCGAAGGUAUGUAAUUCGCCCCCAUCCAACUAUUGCUUUAAACUACAAAAUCGUGGUUUCAAAUUUCAUCUAUCUAUGUAGCCAUAUUAUGAACUAAAACCUUAUUGCAUUAAUUUCUUUCUUACAAAAAGGUUAUUGUCAGGUAUUGAUUAAAGUUUGGCUACAAAAGUUGAUCGCAAGUCUGUUGCACAGUGUAAACUGCUACUUCUUAAAGAACCCUUUUGUGUCAUAAAUAUGUCUUUGUUUUCUACACUAAAUAUCUCUCUCGAUGUACAUGGUUGCAGGUGCUAAACCAAUUUUUGAUUUGUAAUUGUAAGGUCAUUCGAUUCUUUUUUUUCUUUUUUUGUAUACGGAAGCAUCUAAGGCUAAUUAUUUUCUUAAGUUUAUCUAUUGAGAGAUGGCUGGGGACAUACUUUCUGAUGGAGAUGGGUUGAGAGGAUUUUAAAUCAUAUUGGUGAUGUCUGCUCUAGCUGCUAAGAGCGUUUCGCACGCUCCCGUGUAACUUAUAAGCUAAGGGUGAAGGCGUUAGAUAAAUGUUUGACCCAUUUUUCUCCUUUUUUUCUUCGGUCAACCGUAAAAUGUAACAUUGCUGGAAGAAUGUGGCAGCCGUCCACUGCAUGAAAUACUUGAGGAAUGUUUUUUUUUUCUUUUUCUGUAUCACAUUACUUGGGACAGGGAGUAUAAUUUCUCUUCAUCAAUUUCGGUUACCCGAACAUACCAUUUGCUAAUGGAAAUGAAAUGAGGAUUUUAUUGUGUGCUAA